UAAAGGAAUAGGCAGUGUUGUUAAGUUCCCUUCUUCAGUCUUCUCUUAAGCUGAAAGUCCAACGAUUUCAAGAUUCAAUUAAUUAGAGACAUGGAGAGCCAAAGUACAAGAUACCUGUACGGAGAACUUGGGAGGCAUUUUUAUAAGCUCAUUGUCAAGUGAAUGUUAAAGUCCCCAUUCACUGAGAAGCAAAGGGUGAAGAAGUGAGACCCUACAUGGCUUUUUAGUGCAUUGAUGGAGCAGAGACACGUCUAUGAACAACUGCCUAUGCAAACUGAUUACUCGGCAGUAUAAUUUAUCAGUUUGUAUGAGUAAGUGAGUGCUUCUCACUAUGGAUUUAGCUUGCACUUCAAUUUAGUUCCAUUAUCUUGCUUUGGAUUUAUGGAAAUUCUGAACAGUGAUGUGAGAGUGACUACAGUUUGAAGUAUCUGUUAAAUACAGCAACAUGACAUCACAAGGAUUGUUUUGGAGUCUUCUGGAUAUGAGAACAUUAUAAAAGGUGAAAAAGUAGAACUGAAAUAUGAAGGGAGAAAAAGAGACAAACAUGGUUUCAAGUCUCACUUAGAGAAGAAGGAUUGUUUAUUUAUUUGAUGGAAAUUGGGUCAAUUGAAGACUCUGACACAGAGAAUAACGGUACCAGACCUGAGUCCAGUCUUAGCUUUAGUAGGAACAAAAUGUAUCAAUCAAAUUUAUAUAGGACCAAAUACCAGUGAAAGAAAUUAGACAUAAUUACUGAAAGAAUAAAUUACAUGAGAUAUUCACUGUACUUAGCCACAUGACAUGAAAACCUAUGCCCUUUAGAGCAAGCACAGUUCCAUGCAAAACUGUAGAGAAGUUUUCUCACCCCUUUUUCACAUGCUUCUCACAUUGUAGCACCCCUCCUUGAAACCAUCCUACUUCUACUAUCCUCCAGUUUCCUCUGGAUUUGAAUGUCCAUAUCAUGCUAUGGUCCUUCAGUCAGCUCCUGUGUCAGAAAUCAGGGCCCUGCUCUGGGCUCUUCCUUCAUCCUGUAACUAUAGUCAAAUAAGUCCUGUUAAGUCUACUUCCUUAAAAACUCUUAAUAAUCUCUUCCCCUUCUUCAUUGCCAUUGCCUAUUGCACCAUCUUAUUCAGAACACCAUUUUUCUUACCUAUAAUGUUGAAAGUAACUCUUCAACAGUCCUGUUGCGUGCUUUAUCCCAUUGCUUCUUAUAUAACAGAUGUGGUGAUAUUUAGCCUAUUUGUAGUUCCUUGAAACCAUCCUUUGUACUGCCAUCUAAGUAAUCUUUAAAAUAACAAGAUAAAUAUUUCUAUGACCUCCAUUGUCUAAAGCAAAUUUCCAAUGUAUAUUGUGAAAAAAAUGCCAAAGAGUUUCAUGACAAAUGCUAUAUACUAUAGUCUUGGGAGAGCCACAGGGUAAAUUAGUUCUAAAGAGCUCUCUUUGGUAGAGGAAACUGUUAAAAUGUGAUCAGCCUAAUAAGAUCAUAAUCAUAUGACUAUGAACUAUUUUAAAUGUACCUAUCAAUUUUUUCAACCUACUGUUUUGAAGUAUAUUCAAUCUAUUGUCUCAAGUAUAUUUUUCAAUGUACUUGAGAGUAUAUUGACCUGAAGAGAAAAGUCCAAACUCCUAUGACCUUACUAUUGUUCUGACCUCAUCUCUCACAGCUCCCUCUUAUUCCUGGUGUUCUAUCACAUGAUAAUGAAAUUUGACAGAACAGUAUUUAUGUUACUGGGGGUGUGGGGCAUUGAGGAAGCAUGGCAAAUGAGAGGGAAGUGGUAGAAAAAUGACUUUUAUCAUGUGCCUCUAAGAAGAGACAUAUAUGGAUUGAGAUCCACUUAAAAGGGAAAAGUUAAAAAAAAUCAAAACCCAAAAAUCACCACCAUUCUGUGGAUGUGGUAUAUUUAAUUGUCUAAUAAUAAUAAAUUUCCCACAAUGUCAGAUGUUAAGAGUACAAGAAAGAGUUACAAAAGGAAGAGGUUAGGGCAAUAAAUUGAAAAGUGAGUAGAGUUGAGGAAAAUGCUUUGCUAGAUUGCUAGAUUGAAGUUUUCUUCAAUCUAGCAAAAAAGGAGACAGGAGAAAAGGAGCAAAUUGCAAAGGCAAUGGAGGGGAGAUAACAUAGCUGAUUACUAAAGAGGAUAUUUGUGUACUUAUUUGUAUGGUGUGUGUGUGUACGUGUGUGUGUGUGUGUCUGUGUAUGUGUGGUGGUACUUGAAAGACAAAUUGGAUUAGGGUAGUAUUUUGAUUCUGUGUUCAAUUCUCUGAACAAUGACUCAGCUUGAUAGGCUAUUAAUGUUUAAUAGUCCCAUAUAUUUCUCCUAUGCUGUCUACAAGAAUAUCAUUCUCAUUAUAAAAUUUUGUGUAUCUCAUUUGUCUUACAUUUUCACAAAUAUAAAAAAAUACUUCUUUACUCACUCUACAGCUCUGUGAACGUUCAGAGUAAACCUUCUUAGGAUUACUUAUGGAAAAGAAAAGAAUAUUCACUCUAUCUUGUAUAUACAAACCAUGUUAACAUUAUUUCUAGAUAUAGAACUGGCUGCAUACGAUUUCAACUGUUAUUCUGAACAAAUUUAAGUAAUUCUUUAUUCUCAGCAUAUUGGCAACAUAGAAAUGCAUUUUAGAGGUGCAGAGGCACAGAGGGAAAUUUGAGCCAAAUGAAUCUGCUAGAUAUUUCUGCACAGUUUUCAUAAUUCAUUGUUAGGUCUGGCUUCAAGGAGGGCAAAGUUCACAUAUUUCUUUUUUAUAUUGAAAUAAUCACAAUAUUAUUUUUUAGUAAAAAUGUUUGAUUUUAUUCCAAAAAAUCUUUAAGUAAGGAGUAAGAUUUCUGCAUGAUCUGCGAAAUGAAGGUGGAACAGAAUAGAAGCCCUCUUCUGUACAAUGUCACCAAAACAUCCCGAAGUUUUAUCCUGCCUGGAAAAUUUCUUACACAUGAUUCUUACUGCUUAGCUUGAAAUUGCACCUAGGAAGAAGCUUUUGUUCUCAGUGCUGCCAAAACUUCCAUUUUUCAGCAGUGACCUCAGUUUAGCACCUGCUUAUAAGAUGUGUUUGCACAUCGUUGGUACGUUAUAGUGACAUACAUGUUCUCAUCUAGGAGAUUGUCAUAGAAUUCAAGAGAUGUUAACAUUUUUCCAUCUGUGUGUGUGAAAGUGACGUUUCCUGUUAAUUUUGUUCUCUUGCUGAAUUCUCUAAGCAAAAGCCUUCUGUGGGAGGGAGAAUGAUGUCAUUAUAGUCAUAGCAUAAAAAUUUUCAACCUUUAGAAUGAGACAUAUUGUGGCAUAUAUAUUACUACUUUUAAAAGCAGUGACACAAAAACUUGGAGGACGAUGAUAUCAAUUUUAUAUUUUCA
ensembl:lncRNA novel transcript